AUUGAACGCUGGCGGCAGGCUUAACACAUGCAAGUCGAACGAUGAAACUCUAGCUUGCUAGAGAAGAUUAGUGGCGGACGGGUGAGUAACAUUUAGGAAUCUGCCUAGUAGUGGGGGAUAGCUCGGGGAAACUCGAAUUAAUACCGCAUACGACCUACGGGUGAAAGGGGGCGUAAGCUCUUGCUAUUAGAUGAGCCUAAAUCAGAUUAGCUAGUUGGUGGGGUAAAGGCCCACCAAGGCGACGAUCUGUAACUGGUCUGAGAGGAUGAUCAGUCACACCGGAACUGAGACACGGUCCGGACUCCUACGGGAGGCAGCAGUGGGGAAUAUUGGACAAUGGGGGCAACCCUGAUCCAGCCAUGCCGCGUGUGUGAAGAAGGCCUUUUGGUUGUAAAGCACUUUAAGCAGGGAGGAGAGGCUAAUGGUUAAUACCCAUUAGAUUAGACGUUACCUGCAGAAUAAGCACCGGCUAACUCUGUGCCAGCAGCCGCGGUAAUACAGAGGGUGCGAGCGUUAAUCGGAAUUACUGGGCGUAAAGCGAGUGUAGGUGGCUCAUUAAGUCACAUGUGAAAUCCCCGGGCUUAACCUGGGAACUGCAUGUGAUACUGGUGGUGCUAGAAUAUGUGAGAGGGAAGUAGAAUUCCAGGUGUAGCGGUGAAAUGCGUAGAGAUCUGGAGGAAUACCGAUGGCGAAGGCAGCUUCCUGGCAUAAUAUUGACACUGAGAUUCGAAAGCGUGGGUAGCAAACAGGAUUAGAUACCCUGGUAGUCCACGCCGUAAACGAUGUCUACUAGCCGUUGGGGUCCUUGAGACUUUAGUGGCGCAGUUAACGCGAUAAGUAGACCGCCUGGGGAGUACGGCCGCAAGGUUAAAACUCAAAUGAAUUGACGGGGGCCCGCACAAGCGGUGGAGCAUGUGGUUUAAUUCGAUGCAACGCGAAGAACCUUACCUGGUCUUGACAUAGUGAGAAUCUUUCAGAGAUGAGAGAGUGCCUUCGGGAAUUCACAUACAGGUGCUGCAUGGCUGUCGUCAGCUCGUGUCGUGAGAUGUUGGGUUAAGUCCCGCAACGAGCGCAACCCUUUUCCUUAUUUGCCAGCGGGUUAAGCCGGGAACUUUAAGGAUACUGCCAGUGACAAACUGGAGGAAGGCGGGGACGACGUCAAGUCAUCAUGGCCCUUACGACCAGGGCUACACACGUGCUACAAUGGUAGGUACAGAGGGUUGCUACACAGCGAUGUGAUGCUAAUCUCAAAAAGCCUAUCGUAGUCCGGAUUGGAGUCUGCAACUCGACUCCAUGAAGUCGGAAUCGCUAGUAAUCGCAGAUCAGAAUGCUGCGGUGAAUACGUUCCCGGGCCU
rnacentral:rRNA from 1 species